GACGAACGCUGGCGGCGUGCUUAACACAUGCCAGUCGAACGGAAAGGCCCUGCUUUUGUGGGGUGCUCGAGUGGCGAACGGGUGAGUAACACGUGAGUAACCUGCCCUUGACUUUGGGAUAACUUCAGGAAACUGGGGCUAAUACCGGAUAGGAGCUCCUGUUGCAUGGUGGGGGGUGGAAAGUUUCGGCGGUUGGGGAUGGACUCGCGGCUUAUCAGCUUGUUGGUGGGGUAGUGGCUUACCAAGGCUUUGACGGGUAGCCGGCCUGAGAGGGUGACCGGCCACCUUGGGACUGAGAUACGGCCCAGACUCCUACGGGAGGCAGCAGUGGGGAAUAUUGCACAAUGGGCGGAAGCCUGAUGCAGCAACGCCGCGUGCGGGAUGACGGCCUUCGGGUUGUAAACCGCUUUCGCCUGUGACGAAGCGUGAGUGACGGUAAUGGGUAAAGAAGCACCGGCUAACUACGUG
rnacentral:rRNA from 1 species